GAUGAACGCUGGCGGCGUGCUUAACACAUGCAAGUCGAACGGAAAGGCUCCUGCUUGCAGGGGUACUCGAGUGGCGAACGGGUGAGUAACACGUGGGUGAUCUGCCCUGCACUUCGGGAUAAGCCUGGGAAACUGGGUCUAAUACCGGAUAGGACGAUGGUUUGGAUGCCAUUGUGGAAAGUUUUUCGGUGUGGGAUGAGCUCGCGGCCUAUCAGCUUGUUGGUGGGGUAAUGGCCUACCAAGGCGUCGACGGGUAGCCGGCCUGAGAGGGUGUACGGCCACAUUGGGACUGAGAUACGGCCCAGACUCCUACGGGAGGCAGCAGUGGGGAAUAUUGCACGAUGGGCGCAAGCCUGAUGCAGCGACGCCGCGUGGGGGAUGACGGCCUUCGGGUUGUAAACUCCUUUCGCUAGGGACGAAGCGCAAGUGACGGUACCUGGAGAAGAAGCACCGGCUAACUACGUG
rnacentral:rRNA from 1 species